rnacentral:rRNA from 1 species
AUUGAACGCUGGCGGCAGGCCUAACACAUGCAAGUCGGGCGGUAACACAGGGAGCUUGCUCCUGGGUGACGAGCGGCGGACGGGUGAGUAAUGUCUGGGAAACUGCCUGAUGGAGGGGGAUAACUACUGGAAACGGUAGCUAAUACCGCAUAACGUCGCAAGACCAAAGAGGGGGACCUUCGGGCCUCUUGCCAUCAGAUGUGCCCAGAUGGGAUUAGCUAGUAGGUGGGGUAACGGCUCACCUAGGCGACGAUCCCUAGCUGGUCUGAGAGGAUGACCAGCCACACUGGAACUGAGACACGGUCCAGACUCCUACGGGAGGCAGCAGUGGGGAAUAUUGCACAAUGGGCGCAAGCCUGAUGCAGCCAUGCCGCGUGUAUGAAGAAGGCCUUCGGGUUGUAAAGUACUUUCAGCGGGGAGGAAGGCGUUAAGGUUAAUAACCUUGGCGAUUGACGUUACCCGCAGAAGAAGCACCGGCUAACUCCGUGCCAGCCGCCGCGGUAACAC